rnacentral:rRNA from 1 species
CGCGUAGGUGGUAGUGUAAGUCUGGGGUGGAAUGCCGGGGCUUAACCCUGGAAUUGCCUUGGAAACUGCAUUACUUGAGUCAGUGAGGGGAGGGUAGAAUUCCUGGUGUAGCGGUGAAAUGCGUAGAUAUCAGGAGGAAGGCCUGUGGCGAAGGCGGCCCUCUGGUGCUGGACUGACACUGAGGCGCGAAAGCGUGGGGAGCAAACAGGAUUAGAUACCCUGGUAGUCCACGCCCUAAACGGUGGGCACUAGGUGUAGGGCUCGUAAGGGUUCUGUGCCGAAGGGAAACCAUUAAGCGCCCCGCCUGGGGAGUACGGCCGCAAGGUUGAA